GUGUGUGUGUGUGUGUGAGUGAGUGAGCGUGUGUGAGAGAGGAGUGUACAGUGUAUCCGUCGCUGAUACGUGUGUGUGUGUGUGUGUGUGUGAGAGAGGAGUGUACCGUGUAUCCGUCGCAGAUGUGUGUGUGUGUGUGUGUGUGUGUAUUGUACCGUGUAUCCGUCGCAGAUGUGUGUGUGUGUGUGUGUGUGUGUGUGUGUGUGUGUGUGUGUGUGAGAGAGGAGUGUACCGUGUAUCCGUCGCAGAUGUGUGUGUGUGUGUGUGUGUGUGUGUGUGUGAGAGGAGUGUAUCGUGUAUCCGUCGCAGAUGUGUGUGUGUGUGUGUGUGUGUGUGUGUAUGUGUGUGAGAGAGGAGUGUACCGUGUAUCCGUCGCAGAUGUGUGUGUGUGUGUGUGUGUGUGUGUGAGAGGAGUGUACCGUGUAUCCGUCGCAGAUGUGUGUGUGUGUGUGUGUGUGUGUAUUGUACCGUGUAUCCGUCGCAGAUGUGUGUGUGUGUGUGUGUGUGUGUGUGUGUGUGUGAGAGAGGAGUGUACCGUGUAU